AAAACCCUAAACCUUACUUAUAUUCUUUCCCGACCAGAAUCUGGUUUCUAUUAAUUAUUUUCAACUUAGUUGGUGUUCUAAAGUAGUAAGAGGCUUAAAACUUGAAAAGUCUCCAACUUUAGGCAUUUUCCGCUAUAAGGGUGUUUAAUCCAUUUUUCAGUUUGGAUUGUUGAGUUUUUGGAUAUUUUCAAGUUUUUCUAGAAAUAGUUACCAAACUAAAAAUCACACCAACUCAUUCGUCCCCGACAAACUCUCCCAAAACCUAGCCGCCGUUCAUCCACUUUUCAGAUUUUCGCUUGCCCUCUCCGGUGAUCGGCGCUCCUCGCCGCAGCCGUGAGAGGGCCCAGUAGCUUCUUUGUCUUUCUUUUAUUUGUGUUUCGCUUCUUCUUGCCUUGGUGUUUCGGUAGAAAAGGGUUUCGGUAGUCUCAGAUGGUGUCUCUUCGCGGCGAGGCUUCGGGUUUGGCCGGCGGUCAGCUCCUCCUGAGAGAGGUGUUUUGUUUUGGGUUCCGAGAUCUGUCCAUUGAUGGAUGGCUCUGUCUUUGUAAGCCUUUGCAAAGGCUCGAGUCUUCUUCUGAUUCCUGAUUCUGGUUUAUACGGAUAUGUGGCAGUGGUCUCUCUGCGUUUCUCCAUCAUGGUCGUUCUCCUCCUUCUCCGAGUUACUAGGGUAAGCUUUUAAGUCUUGAUUGCAGAUUUUUGGGCCUUCGUUUGGGGAAUCAAUUGGUUUGCUGCGAGUGUUGAUUUUGUGUGUUGCGGAUGCGGUCUCUUAGUAGUAUGGUUGGUUAGAGGGUAGAAGCCUUAGUUUCAAGUUUAGGGAUGGCAUUAUUGACUCCUAGUUCUGCCUUCUGUUACUUUCUGCCCGGUUAUUGGGGUUAUGAGUUUGUGAAGGUUUCGUUUUGUGGGUUCUUCAUUUGGAUGGUAGUCUCCUGCAAAGGCAUCUACUAGCUCUCUUCCUUUUCCUUGUUUGGAUUUAAGGUUUGAGUUCAAGACGAUGUGGUAGGCUCGGUCUCUAUUCCUUCUCUUGCGUGGCGUAACCAGUUCUUAGGCUGUAGAUAGUUUUGGCUGGGUCUACGAAUGUCCGCGUGUAAGGUUUGUUGGCCCUCUUUGGCGUUUUCCCCUUCGGAUCUCAAGGCUUCUCCUUGUCCCUUCUCCUGCUUGUCUUCUCUGGUUUCUGGUGUAGUAGUGAUGGUUAGGAUCUGUGCUCUGAUCCUCUUUUAUCUGUGCUCGUUUCUGCUCGGGGUGUGGUUGUGUGAGCUUGGUUUUGUAUCCUUCUCGGGCCUUUCAUGUAAAGGCAAUCUAAUGAUGGGUUCUCUUGUUGCUCCUGUUUGUAACCACUUUCCAGCGUCCAAAAUGUUCUAUGGAAAUGUUCGUCGGAUUCUUUUCGUGAAGAGUUUGCAGUUGUGUUGCUUGAGUCUUAGAUAUUAGCCUUUCCCUAUACUUUAAGGUUUUCCUUCUUUUAUGUCUGCCUUUUUUGGCCUUUGUCUCUGGGGGUUUCCAUGUACCCGCCGGCUUAGUUUUCCGGGGGUUAGAGUCCCGCCGGCGUUAGUAUUUCACCAUGUAUCCCAACUUUGUAUUUCUCCCUUGGUUAUAUUUCAUGAAUUAUUCAGAUGAAAAAAAAAAAAAAAAGUUACCAAACUAAAAAUAUGAUUAUAGCAUGUAUCAGGUUGGUUCAGUUUAAUUGAGCAGUUCUGGUUUUAGUCAAAUAAAUAAUUUAUUAGGUUGUCUCUUUUUCUUUUCAUAUUUAUCUGUGUUAAAGUGUUUGGAUGUAUUUUCCCGUCUAAGAUUGGAUAGGUUCGAGUCAUUCUUGAACAUCUCUGAAAUUUGCAUCCGUAGUACUAUUAUACUAUUGACAUCGGUUGAAACAUUUAACCACUUCUGUUUUCUUCAUCCAUAAUCUGAAUAUGGUUAAACGCACAACUUUUUGGUGUUCUAAAGAAUCAAGAGUCUAAAACUUGUAAAUUCCACUAAUUAUUGCUCUACUACUCUCUACUCUAUAGUUGUUUCUUUGAGCAUUCCUCUGUUCUUGGUUUUCUAGUGUUUGAAAUUGAGAAAAUGUUGUCAAUCUUAGAGAGAGUUAACACAACAUCAACUUCUUCAUUUUUUUCGUACACAACCACACAA
rnacentral:lncRNA from 1 species